GACGAACGCUGGCGGCGUGCUUAACACAUGCAAGUCGAACGGAAAGGCCCUGCUUCUGUGGGGUGCUCGAAUGGCGAACGGGUGAGUAACACGUGAGUAACCUGCCCUUGACUUUGGGAUAACUUCAGGAAACUGGGGCUAUACCGGAUAGGAGCUCCUGCUGCAUGGUGGGGGUUGGAAAGUUUCGGCGGUUGGGGAUGGACUCGCGGCUUAUCAGCUUGUUGGUGGGGUAGUGGCUUACCAAGGCUUUGACGGGUAGCCGGCCUGAGAGGGUGACCGGCCACAUUGGGACUGAGAGACGGCCCAGAGUCCUACGGGAGGCAGCAGUGGGGAAUAUUGCACAAUGGGCGGAAGCCUAAUGCAGCAACGCCGCGUGCGGGAUGACGGCCUUCGGGUUGUAAACCGCUUUCGCCUGUGACGAAGCGUGAGUGACGGUAAUGGGUAAAGAAGCACCGGCUAACUACGUG
rnacentral:rRNA from 1 species